GGGCCCGUAGCUCAGCCAGGAUAGAGCGCCGGCCUUCGGAGCCGGUGGUCGGGGGUUCAAAUCCCCCCGGGCCCGCCA
rnacentral:tRNA from 1 species